AGCUUGCUUUUAUGCUGACGAGUGGCGCACGGGUGAGUAACGCGUAUACAAUCUACCUUUUACAGGGGGAUAGCCUUUAGAAAUGAAGAUUAAUAUCCCAUAGUAAGUUAUCAUUGCAUGAUAGUAACUUUAAAGUUUCGGCGGUAAAAGAUGAGUAUGCGUUCUAUUAGCUAGAUGGUGUGGUAACGGCACACCAUGGCAACGAUAGAUAGGGGCCCUGAGAGGGGGAUCCCCCACACUGGUACUGAGACACGGACCAGACUCCUACGGGAGGCAGCAGUGAGGAAUAUUGGACAAUGGGCGCGAGCCUAAUCCAGCCAUGCCGCGUGCAGGAAGACUGCCCUAUGGGUUGUAAACUGCUUUUAUACGGGAAGAAACCUAGUCACGUGUGACUAGCUGACGGUACCGUAAGAAUAAGGAUCGGCUAACUCCGUGCCAGCAGCCGCGGUAAUACGGAGGAUCCAAGCGUUAUCCGGAAUCAUUGGGUUUAAAGGGUCCGUAGGUGGAUAAUUAAGUCAGGGGUGAAAGUCUGCAGCUCAACUGUAGAAUUGCCCUUGAUACUGGUUGUCUUGAAUUAUUGUGAAGUGGUUAGAAUAUGUAGUGUAGCGGUGAAAUGCAUAGAUAUUACAUAGAAUACCAAU
rnacentral:rRNA from 1 species